rnacentral:tRNA from 1 species
GGAGGGGUGGCAGAGCGGUUGAAUGCAGCGGUCUUGAAAACCGCCGAGCCGAAAGGUUCCGUGGGUUCGAAUCCCACCCCCUCCGCCA